AUUGAACGCUGGCGGCGUGCCUUACACAUGCAAGUCGAACGGCAGCACGGGGGCAACCCUGGUGGCGAGUGGCGAACGGGUGAGUAACACAUCGGAACGUGCCCAGUAGUGGGGGAUAGCUCGGCGAAAGCCGGAUUAAUACCGCAUACGACCUACGGGUGAAAGCGGGGGAUCGCAAGACCUCGCGCUAUUGGAGCGGCCGAUGUCAGAUUAGGUUGCUGGUGGGGUAAAGGCCUACCAAGCCGACGAUCUGUAGCUGGUCUGAGAGGACGACCAGCCACACUGGGACUGAGACACGGCCCAGACUCCUACGGGAGGCAGCAGUGGGGAAUUUUGGACAAUGGGCGCAAGCCUGAUCCAGCCAUGCCGCGUGCGGGAAGAAGGCCU
rnacentral:rRNA from 1 species